rnacentral:rRNA from 1 species
UACGAGGGGGGCGAGCGUUGUUCGGAAUUAUUGGGCGUAAAGGGUGCGUAGGCGGUUUGGUAAGUCUUAUGUGAAAUCUACAGGCUCAACUUGUAGUCUGCAUGAGAAACUGCCGGGCUUGAGUAUGGGAGAGGUGAGUGGAAUUCCUGGUGUAGCGGUGAAAUGCGUAGAUAUCAGGAGGAACACCUGUGGCGAAAGCGGCUCACUGGACCAUAACUGACGCUGAGAUGCGAAAGCGUGGGGAUCAAACAGG